rnacentral:snoRNA from 1 species
GCUACGUCUAUUUCAGUGUUCUGACCUGUGAACAUCUGAAUGAUUAGCGGC